CGCCCACCCGGACACGGCGGCCCCUUGCCGGGGGUGAAAAAUAGUCCGCCGGGUCCUAAUGGCGCGGCGACACGUCGCCCGUCCUCGCGGGGCUUUCCAAAGAGUGGCGGCAACGCUCCGCCCUGAUUUGGCUUGGGAAGGGCAGAGGGAUGGCUGGAAAUCGGGAUCACCUCGCGAGAGCAGGUGAUAUCCAUCCGCUGGCGCGUGACCCCGCCCUCCAGAGAAAACCAGCUUCAGCUAGAAGGGCAGCGAAUAUCUCUACUUGCCAUCAUCCCAGGGCUCUGAGGAUCAGAAUGCUUUUCAGAAAGGCAAGAGUUGUGAGUAGGAGUUCCCUGAGAGAGAAAAGGAGAUUAACUUGCCUCUCAUAUGCUAGAAGAUGGCAUGGAUUUUGAGGUUCAACUUAACACUUGCUUCCUGCACUUGACCCUUUGUGGCAUCAAGCUGUCUCAGAUACAGGAGAGUUUCUGACAUGACUCAUCCUGGAAUCACAGCUCCCAAGAAUAUUCAUCAGGGGAGCAGGACUGGAAGAGCCCAGUUAUGGAGCUUUCUCUGGCGUGAGCCCCUGCACUGUAUUAAGUGGCCCACAGAAGUUGACUGCUAGGGAAGCUGAGAAACAGACUGUUUCCUUCAUAAACAGGUUGACCUUCACCUGGCUGAAGAGUUUUACCUCAGAAUUUGUUCCGAGGUCUCCAGUUGUGUAAACUGUUGUUGAUGUUAUGUGUUAUCCUGGCCAGGAUGCUUGUGUUCACCACUGCUUCUUUUCAUGUAUUUCAGCUUGCGUUGUCUUUAUGUGCAAUGAAAAUAAUCCCUUCUUCUGAUUGCAAGGGUUUAGGUCAAUAAUUUCUCCAAAUUCUGCCGAUAACUCUUUCUUCUUUGAGGGAGAAUGUCAAUGUAACAACCCACAGCAACAGUGUCAGCAGCCUGGAGAGCAGAAUGGGACCUCAGCACCUAGGCUUUGCUCUGACGCUUUCUCAGGAUGCACACAGUAUCCACGUUUCUUUGCCUUGAAAAAUAUCUCAGAUUAGCGUCCGAGAGUGUUAUUACCUGUACGCUUCUUUAGAGAGAUAAAGUAUGUCAAUAUAUUGCAUUUGAGUUGAUUCUUACUCAAGAAGUAUGUGAGGGGUAUGUGUACAAGUGUAUUUCCAAAGAAAUUUUUAAUUACUAUUGUCCUCUUCAGACCCUAAUUCCUUAGUCCAUGCAGUAAGUGGCACUCCCCACUAUCAGCCAACUGUAAUAAAUUUGUUCACGCAUA